AGAGCUAAUACAUGCCACGAUGCCCUGACCCUUCGGGGGAUGGGUGCAUUUAUUAGAACAGAACCAACCGGGUGCAUUCCUCUGGUUUGCGCCUGUCAUAUUCUGUGAUGACUCUGGAUAACUUUGCUGAUCGCAGUCGGCCUUGUGUCGGCGACGAGUCUUUCAAAUGUCUGCCCUAUCAAUUGUCGAUGGUAGGUGACCUGCCUACCAUGGUGAUAACGGGUAACGGGGAAUCAGGGUUCGAUUCCGGAGAAAGAGCCUGAGAAACGGCUACUAUUUCCAAGGAAGGCAGCAGGCGCGCAACUUACCCAAUCCCGGCACGGGGAGGUAGUGACGAAAAAUACGGAUGCGGGACUCAACAGAGGCUCCGUAAUUCGAAUGAGUACAAUUCAAAUCCUUUAACGAGGAUCAACUGGAGGGCAAGUCUGGUGCCAGCAGCCGCGGUAACUCCAGCUCCAGAAGCGUAUAUUAAAUUUGUUGCAGUUAAAAAGCUCGUAGUUGGAUCUGGGACGCAUGGGUGCUAGUCGUUUCUUGCAUUUCUGACCUAGCCACGGUUGGGUCGGUUUUGCGAGGCGAUUUUGUACCUGUGUAGCCUUUCUGCCGUGUCUGUUUACGGGUGCUGACGGUCAAUACGUUGGCAUGCUUCCAGGUGCUCUUAAUCGGGUGUCUGGAGCGGACGGCAAGUUUACUUUGAACAAAUUUGAGUGCUCAAAGCAGGCCUAUGCCUGACAAUUCUUGCAUGGAAUAAUGGAAUAGGACUUCGGUUCUAUUUUGUUGGUUUUCGGAUCCGAAGUAAUGGUUAAGAGGGACAGACGGGGGCAUUUGUAUGGCGGUGUUAGAGGUGAAAUUCUAUGAUCAUCGCCAGACAAACUAAAGCGAAAGCAUUUGCCAAGGAUGUUUUCAUUAAUCUGGAGCGAAAGUCAGAGGUUCAAAGACGAUCAGAUACCGUCGUAGUUCUGACCAUAAACGAUACCAACUGACGAUCCGUGGGUGCUCGUUCAUUGA
rnacentral:rRNA from 1 species